rnacentral:rRNA from 1 species
AAAUUGAAGAGUUUGAUCAUGGCUCAGAUUGAACGCUGGCGGCAGGCCUAACACAUGCAAGUCGAACGGUAACAGGAAUCAGCUUGCUGAUUCGCUGACGAGUGGCGGACGGGUGAGUAAUGUCUGGGAAACUGCCUGAUGGAGGGGGAUAACUACUGGAAACGGUAGCUAAUACCGCAUAACGUCGCAAGACCAAAGAGGGGGACCUUCGGGCCUCUUGCCAUCGGAUGUGCCCAGAUGGGAUUAGCUAGUAGGUGGGGUAACGGCUCACCUAGGCGACGAUCCCUAGCUGGUCUGAGAGGAUGACCAGCCACACUGGAACUGAGACACGGUCCAGACUCCUACGGGAGGCAGCAGUGGGGAAUAUUGCACAAUGGGCGCAAGCCUGAUGCAGCCAUGC